GGAGACAUCCAGGCGUGCUUCCAAGGCUCCCAGGAGGUUCGCAGAUAAGCAAGAGGAACCUGAUAUGAAGAAGAAGACUAUUACUACUCCUUCUGGGUUCUGAAUGUGAAGGAAAGACACCUACAUUGCAAAAUAAUGCUCAAAAAAGUCCCCCAAAAAUAUGGAGAGAUUCCCUCCAUGCCGGCGAGUUUUUGAAAGAACACUGUAAUACCUGUGACAUUACUAUGGAUAGCCAUUAUUUCUUCAGUAUGUUUUGCAAAACUGAUUGAUCUCCUAAAUAUUUGACCUGUUGUAUACUAUGUUAUUUAUUUUAAUAAAGACUUCAAAACAUUAAAAAAAUA